AUUGAACGCUGGCGGCAGGCCUAACACAUGCAAGUCGAACGGUAACAGGAAGCAGCUUGCUGCUUCGCUGACGAGUGGCGGACGGGUGAGUAAUGUCUGGGAAACUGCCCGAUGGAGGGGGAUAACUACUGGAAACGGUAGCUAAUACCGCAUAACGUCGCAAGACCAAAGAGGGGGACCUUCGGGCCUCUUGCCAUCGGAUGUGCCCAGAUGGGAUUAGCUUGUUGGUGAGGUAACGGCUCACCAAGGCGACGAUCCCUAGCUGGUCUGAGAGGAUGACCAGCCACACUGGAACUGAGACACGGUCCAGACUCCUACGGGAGGCAGCAGUGGGGAAUAUUGCACAAUGGGCGCAAGCCUGAUGCAGCCAUGCCGCGUGUAUGAAGAAGGCCUUCGGGUUGUAAAGUACUUUCAGCGAGGAGGAAAGGUUGUUGGCUAAUACCCAGCAGCUGUGACGUUACUCGCAGAAGAAGCACCGGCUAACUCCGUGCCAGCCGCCGCCGUAAGAC
rnacentral:rRNA from 1 species